GUUUGACAGAACAGGAUGCUUGUUCAUGUUUAUAAUCAUUGCAUGGUUGCAAUAACUAAACGGCCUCCCUCAAAUCCCUCAUUGGAAGCUGUGAACUCGUCUCUCUCAGCGCCUGCCACCAACACAGGUAUUUCCUAGGUGCAGGAGAAUGGCAUGGUGGCCUUCGCAAUGUACCAUCUGGAGCAACAGCUGGCAUGGUGGAAGGAAGGGUACCUUGAUAGAAAGAAUUGUGCUAACCUGUUGCAGAAGUAAAUGUCAAAGGAAUUCCACAGUGGAGGAGCCAGCUCCAAUCCCAAAUGCCACAUGGACAAUAAGGCAAGUAUGCACUCACUAUAUGCAUCAUAAAUAAAAUGUGCAGAUAUUUUCAAAUAUACUUGAUU
rnacentral:lncRNA from 11 species